rnacentral:lncRNA from 1 species
CCAGCCUGGGGCUCAGGGAGCCUGAGGUACCUCUUGGGGCUGCUGGAGUGGCAGGCAGAGCUGGGCUGGAGGGCACCAGCUGUGUUUUAACCUGUCACAGUCCUCACUGCUGUGCAGUCUUCCCUAUGCUGGGCUGGUGGCACUGUGUGCUAGCUCAGUCCUUCACUACCUCCCUGCCACCCAGGUACCCCAGCCCGCACCCAUCACCAAGAACAGAAAGCAGCAGCAGAAGGCAUAAGGUGGGGUCAAUUGUUGCUUUCUUGUCUGCUUUCCCCAGAGUUGCCAACAGGCAUCCCUGGAGCUGCACGAGUGAGGCUUGGCAGGGGGACUAGGGGCCUACAUCCUGUCAUGGCCCCUGCCCAGGGCCUGGGGCACAGGAUAGGGCAGCAGGAACUAUCAGUACUGCAGUGCAGGCUGUGCACAUUCGAAGCCACCAGCAGACGGAGUACCACUGUGCACACUGCAAACGUUUGCCCCAGACUGGGAAGCCCUGCUCAGCACCCAGCUCUGCUGCAGUACCCAGGGCAGCGGUUCCAGUGCUGCUGCUACCUUUGGGACUGUGUUGCAGCUGCGCGUGGAGGAGAAAGGCUGUGGCUCCUGCUCUGCAGUCAGCUCUGCAUGUCACUCAGGUGACAUCGGGCAGGGUCAAGACAUGGACUUUUUAUCAUUUUUUUCCCCUUCAGUAAAGGUCUAACAGUGUUGCUGUCCAACGUUUCUGAUCCAGGCCAGGAAGAGGAGGGGACUUUUUCCUGCUUGCAGACAUCAGGACCCAGCACUGUGGCAGUGAGCAGUGAAACAGCAAUAGCUCAGUCCCCGGACCCCUGCAGUGCCCAGGCUCUCACUCCAGCACAGAACGCGAUGCCCAGGAGAAGCUGCCCAUGACCCAAAACAGCCCCAGCGCCAGCAAGCUCUGCCGUGCCAGGGCUCCCCCAGGCACCAACUCUUGCUGGAGACCACCAGCACCCACUGUGCUGUUGGAAGGCUGGGGGGGCAGUGGGGAGCAGCAGGACUCGCCCCCCCCCCCAAAGCAUCUCACCAGCGUUCGGCUGCUUUCCAGGGACAGUGGUGCACAGGCUGUGAGCAGUGCACCUGCAGAGGACCACUUGGGCUGCGUUGUGUUGGGCUGCCCAACACGCUUCUUUCCAAAUGUUAUUUGAAAAAAUAAAAAUAAAAACAAAAACCUUGGAUACAAAAAUUUCACAGUUGGCUUCGCAUCCGCCCCUUGCAGCAGCCUGCAGUCGGUGCUCCUCAAGCUCUGCAGCAUGCCCUCUGCUCCAGGACAGCGUGCACAUCUUCAGCAGGAACAUGAGAGAAACGCGGGGAAAUCAUGGAAAUGUUUGUUGAAGAAAUUUAAAAUAAAAAAAAGAAACCAAAAACCAUAAAUCACAAUUAAAGGGAAAAGGUUUCAACAGCAACAAAAAUAAUAAAACCAAAAAACAACUGCUAAACAGCACCAUCAAGAUUUCUACUGGCAGCAUCUGUCACACCCUAAGGCAGAAGAUGAGGGUCCCACAUUUGUCACAGGCUUCAAGUUCCCAGUUCGCCCGUCCCCUGCCCUUCCCCAGGCAGGAUGUGGCUCCUGGCCGACACAGGGCACUCCAACGGCCCUCUGCAAAAACUGGAGAAAGGUACAAAGAGGAUCAGAGACAUCUGGGAGGACAAAGAACUUCAUCCACAAUCCUUAAAACAGACACGAACUUAAAAAAUAUAUAUAUUCUCUCUUCUUCUCCCUGAAAAAGUGGUGUUGGCUGGACCCUUGUUUCCAGGAACGAGAAAAAGAAGUCAGCAGGUUUUCCGAGGGAGUUCCGUGGCUUCGCACAGCGACCAUCGGUCAUGGCAAGGAGAGGUCUCUUGGCCAUAGAGGUCUGGUCCCGGUGCCCAGGGCCCCGUCCCCAGCGGGAGCUCCGUGGUGGCAGGCAUCUCCCCCGGAUGGGGCGAGACAGCCCUUCCUCUCCUCACCCCCUUGGCCAGCAGAGGUAUGGGGAUGCACAGGUCUGCUUCUGAGAUGAGCUGUGUGGGGGUGCAGGUGGUCACAGGCUCCUGAGGCCAGAGAAAAGGGGCCCCGUGGGUGGCAGAAGACUGGAGGUUGGGCACCCCCGAGGAAGGGCACCCCGCAGGACCCGGACCGGGGGCUAUUUGGCGACAGAGGUGCCCGGGGGCUCAGUCUGAGGUGAGAGGGGCAGCUGCCCGCCCUGCCGCUGUGAUUCCAGCUCGGCCGCCUUCUGCAGCGCCACCUCCACCAGCAGCUGGAAGCUGCUGAAGUCGUCACCGAAGAGCUCAGGGGGCGUGGGGGGCGGCGUGUUGAAGAGUCCGCUGGUGGGGCUGGCGGCCUCGGCACGCGCCAGCAGGGCCACAGUGCUGCCGGCGGCACCUGGUGGAGCUUUGGGGUGGGGGUCUGGCUCCACUCGCUGCAGGCCGGGCUGCUUCUCCCGCUCGGGGCUGUGGGCACCCAGCACCGCCAGGUUGCCACCUAGCGCCUGGGUGGGAUGGCACAGUACCUGCGGGCACAUGGAUAUUGGCAGCACCUUGGCAGCCCCCCCUGCCGUCACAGGAGGAACCACCAGCAUUCCAGAGCCAGCGGCAGCCCCCCGCGGCAGGGUCACGUCGCCAGCCUUGCCCCCUCGGCGAGAGAUGGUGAACUGGUUGGGGUCCUUCCCAUCCUUGCGCAGCAUGUCAGGGAGCAGCCGCCGCCGGGCGUUGAUGAACCAGUUGCAGAUCUGGGAGGAGAAAGGGGCACAGUGCUGUCAGUGAGAGGUUCUGUGCCCCCCUCGGCUACCGCAGGGCUCCCCCGCCCCACAUCUCCCUCAGAGGAGCAAAGCCGCCCCGGUAGGAGCUGCACGCGGAAACCCCAGCACAGCUGUUUCCUG